rnacentral:rRNA from 1 species
AUAUUGCGCAAUGGACGAAAGUCUGACGCAGCGACGCCGCGUGUGGGAUGAAGCUCUUCGGGGUGUAAACCACUGUUGCCCGGGACGAACUUCUGGCUUUAGCCAGAUUGACGGUACCGGGUGAGGAAGCACCGGCUAACUCGGUGCCAGCAGCCGCGGUAAUACAGAGGGUGCGAGCGUUGUCCGGAAUCACUGGGCGUAAAGGGCGCGUAGGUGGCUUGGUAAGCGUGUGGUGAAAGCCUGGGGCUCAACCCCAGGUCUGCCGUGCGAACUGCCAAGCUUGAGCAUAGUAGAGGCAGGUGGAAUUUCGGGUGUAGCGGUGGAAUGCGUAGAUAUCCGAAAGAACACCGGUGGCGAAGGCGGCCUGCUGGGCUAUUGCUGACACUGAGGCGCGACAGCGUGGGGAGCAAAC